rnacentral:rRNA from 1 species
CUUGAGUAGUAUUAGUUAUGAUCUUGAAACUUAAAAAAUUUGGCGGUAUUUUAGUCUAUUCAGAGGAACCUGUUUUAUAAUCGAUAAUCCACGUUGGACCUUUCUUAAGCUUGUAUUUCAGUUUAUAUACCGUCGUUAUAAGAAUAUUUUAUAAGAAAAAUAAUUUUCAAUAAUUUUAAUUAAAAUUUAUAUCAGAUCAAGGUGUAGCUUAUGUUUAAGUAAAAAUGGGUUACAAUAAAUUUAUUUAAAUGGAUGUAAAGAUGAAAAAUUUACUGAAAGUGGAUUUGAAAGUAAAAUUAUAGAGAUAAAUAAUUUGAUUUUAGCUCUAAAAUAUGCACACAUCGCCCGUCGCUCUUAA